rnacentral:rRNA from 1 species
GACGAACGCUGGCGGCGUGCUUAACACAUGCAAGUCGAGCGGUAAGGCCCUUUCGGGGGUACGACGAGCGGCGAACGGGUGAGUAACACGUGGGUGACCUGCCCUCAGCUCUGGGAUAAGCCUGGGAAACUGGGUCUAAUACUGGAUAUGACUCCACGGUGCAUGUCGUGGGGUGGAAAGCCUUGUGCGGCUGAGGAUGGGCCCGCGGCCUAUCAGCUUGUUGGUGGGGGUGANGGCCUACCAAGGCGACGACGGGUAGCCGGCCUGAGAGGGCGACCGGCCACACUGGGACUGAGACACGGCCCACGACUCCUACGGGAGGCAGCAGUGGGGAAGUAUUGGACAAUGGGGGAAACCCUGAUCCAGCGACGCCGCGUGGGUGAAGAAGGCCUGCGGGUUGUAAAGCCCUUUCAGUGGGGAAGAAAAGCCUCGA